CUACACCUGUUGUAUUCAGCAUUUCACUGUGAGGUCUACUACACCUGUUGUAUUCAGCAUUUCACUGUGAGGUCUACUACACCUGUUGUAUUCAGCAUUUCACUGUGAUGUCUACUACACCUGUUGUAUUCAGCAUUUCACUGUGAUGUCUACUACACCUGUUGUAUUCAGCAUUUCACUGUGAGGUCUACUACACCUGUUGUAUUCAGCAUUUCACUGUAAGGUCUACUACACCUGUUGUAUUCAGCAUUUCACUGUAAGGUCUACUACACCUGUUGUAUUCAGCAUUUCACUGUAAGGUCUACUACACCUGUUGUAUUCAGCAUUUCACUGUUAGGUCUACUACACCUGUUGUAUUCAGCAUUUCACUGUAAGGUCUACUACACCUGUUGUAUUCAGCAUUUCACUGUAAGGUCUACUACACCUGUUGUAUUCAGCAUUUCACUGUAAGGUCUACUACACCUGUUGUAUUCAGCAUUUCACUGUAAGGUCUACUACACCUGUUGUAUUCAGCAUUUCACUGUAAGGUCUACUACACCUGUUGUAUUCAGCAUUUCACUGUAAGGUCUACUACACCUGUUGUAUUCAGCAUUUCACUGUAAGGUCUACUACACAUGUUGUAUUCAGCAUUUCACUGUGAGGUCUACUACACCUGUUGUAUUCAGCAUUUCACUGUAAGGUCUACUACACCUGUUGUAUUCAGCAUUUCACUGUAAGGUCUACUACACCUGUUGUACUCAGCAUUUCACUGUAAGGUCUACUACACCUGUUGUAUUCAGCAUUUCACUGUGAGGUCUACUACACCUGUUGUACUCAGCAUUUCACUGUGAGGUCUACUACACCUGUUGUAUUCAGCAUUUCACUGUGAGGUCUACUACACCUGUUGUAUUCAGCAUUUCACUGUGAGGUCUACUACACCUGUUGUAUUCAGCAUUUCACUGUGAGGUCUACUACACCUGUU